rnacentral:rRNA from 1 species
UACGAAGGGGGCUAGCGUUGUUCGGAAUUACUGGGCGUAAAGGGCGCGUAGGCGGUGUGUCAAGUCAGGCGUGAAAGCCCCGGGCUCAACCUGGGAACCGCGCUUGAGACUGGCACGCUCGAGUUCGGGAGAGGAUGGUGGAAUUCCCAGUGUAGAGGUGAAAUUCGUAGAUAUUGGGAAGAACACCGACGGCGAAGGCAGCCAUCUGGACCGACACUGACGCUGAGGCGCGAAAGCGUGGGGAGCAAACAGG